rnacentral:rRNA from 1 species
CCUACGGGCGGCUGCAGUGGGGAAUUUUGCACAAUGGGCGCAAGCCUGAUGGAGCAACGCCGCGUGUGUGAUGAAGGUCUUCGGAUCGUAAAGCACUUUCGACCGGGACGAAAAACUCAUUGCUAACAUCGAUGAGCCUGACGGUACCGGGAGAAGAAGCACCGGCUAACUCUGUGCCAGCAGCCGCGGUAAUACAGAGGGUGCAAGCGUUGUUCGGAAUUAUUGGGCGUAAAGCGCGUGUAGGCGGCUUAUCAAGUCAGAUGUGAAAGCCCUCGGCUCAACCGAGGAAGUGCGUCUGAAACUGGUGAGCUUGAGUGCCGGAGAGGGUAGCGGAAUUCCGCAAGUAGAGGUGAAAUUCGUAGAGAUGCGGAGGAACACCGGUGGCGAAGGCGGCUACCUGGACGGCAACUGACGCUGAGACGCGAAAGCGUGGGGAGCAAACAGGAUUAGAUACCCGUGUAGUC